CUGGCAGCCUCUGCUAAAGGGAGGAGGGGAGGAAAGAGUCAACAAAAUAUGGGACUGAAAUAAAAUAAGUGGAUGGAGACCUUGAGUUUGGGCAUCUUUGAUA